GACGAACGCUGGCGGCGUGCUUAACACAUGCAAGUCGAACGGAAAGGCCCUGCUUUUGUGGGGUGCUCGAGUGGCGAACGGGUGAGUAACACGUGAGUAACCUGCCCUUGACUUUGGGAUAACUUCAGGAAACUGGGGCUAAUACCGGAUAGGAGCUCCUGCUGCAUGGUGGGGGUUGGAAAGUUUCGGCGGUUGGGGAUGGACUCGCGGCUUAUCAGCUUGUUGGUGGGGUAGUGGCUUACCAAGGCUUCGACGGGUAGCCGGCAUGGGAGGUUGACCGGCCACAAUGGGACUGAGAGACGGCCCAGACGCCAACGGGAGGCAGAAGUGGGGAAUAUUGCACAAUGGGCGGAAGCCUGAUGCAGCAACGCCGCGUGCGGAAUGACGGCCUUCGGGUUGUAAACCGCAUUCGCCUGUGACGAAGCGUGAGUGACGGUAAUGGGUAAAGAAGCACCGGCUAACUACGUG
rnacentral:rRNA from 1 species